CUAGAAUUAAGCAAUAAUAAUCUAGCUACAUUAUUCAGAAAAUGGGGAGAGGAAGCUACCUGCAUGUUAGAAGCAGCUAGAAGCAACAACCUGAAGCAGGAAAGAGGGAGUGAUGUCAGGAGAACAACUUGGUGGGAGCCUGUGGAAGUGGAGCACAGACUAUUUCCCUUGAGCAGGAAUGCUCUCCCUGAACCUGCUUUACAGACGAGGAUGAAAGAAGAAACAAGG
rnacentral:lncRNA from 1 species